rnacentral:misc_RNA from 1 species
CCCCCAACCACCCAGACACACACCACGUUGAAGUGAAAGGAUCACCAACCAAAAUUGCAGUGAUCAUGGCCUCAUGGGUGCUCAGAUCGAUUGAACCAAAAGCAUCAACCAGUAGUGUGGAGCUUGGUAUCUAUCUCCUGGGUCCUCGCUCCCUAGUCCUACCAGGACAUCAUGUUAAUUCGAUGGUGUCAUCGUCGCUGCAUCAUCGGGCUCGGGCGCACUGUGUUUAUGCUUGUGGUAGCAUCGGCAUUUAUCUGGGAUAUAAAUGUCCAUUGUUCGACACGCUGUGUUGUGCCUCAGUGCUUGAGCCGCCGAUAUGACGGCUCAACGGCCCGACUCGCUUUUUGAUGUGCCAGUCGCGCUUUUGAUGGCGAAGUGUAAGGGGGCGUUUGGUUCUCAGGCCAAAGUUCCGUGUCAAAUCGAAUUUUUACGAGUAUUAAAUACUCAUCCUUCUCAAUAUAUAAGCAUAUAUAAGCUGUAACACCCUU